rnacentral:ncRNA from 1 species
UAAUGUGAACAUAAAAACACGGUCCGGUUGGUAGUCCGGAUGCACUGAUGCUCCGAGUCAUCGGUGUCGUAUCCUUCCCUCUCGGGAUGUCCCUUGUUCGCAAUCUGUUG